rnacentral:rRNA from 1 species
UUGCCCUACGGGGCGCAGCAGUGAGGAAUAUUGGUCAAUGGCCGUAAGGCUGAACCAGCCAAGUGGCGUGAGGGAAGACUGCCCUAUGGGUUGUAAACCUCUUUUAUGCGGGGAUAAAGGUGUCCAGGUGUGGAUGUUUGCAGGUACCGCAUGAAUAAGGACCGGCAAAUUCCGUGCCAGCAGCGGCGGUAAUACGAAGGAUGCGAGAGUUAUCCGGAUUUAUUGGGUUAAAAG